rnacentral:rRNA from 1 species
UACGGAGGGUGCAAGCGUUUAUCCGGAUUUAUUGGGUUUAAAGGGUACGUAGGCGGUGAAAUAAGUCAGUGGUGAAAUCCAGCAGCUUAACUGUUGAUGUGCCAUUGAUACUGUUUUCUAGAGUGAUGAUGAGGUGGGUGGAAUUCCAUGUGUAACGGUGAAAUGCUUAGAUAUCAGGAGGAACACCAACAGCGAAGGCAGAUCUCUGGGACGUGACUGACGCUGAGACGGCGAAAGCGUAGGGAGCAAACAGGA